AUUGAACGCUGGCGGCAGGCUUAACACAUGCAAGUCGAGCGAGCGGCGGAUGGGUGAGUAAUGUCUGGGAAACUGCCUGAUGGAGGGGGAUAACUACUGGAAACGGUAGCUAAUACCGCAUACCAUCAGAUGUGCCCAGAUGGGAUUAGCGAGUAGGUGGGGUAAUGGCUCACCUAGGCGACGAUCCCUAGCUAGUCUGAGAGGAUGACCAGACACACUGGAACAGAGACGCGGUCCGGGGUCAUGCGGGAGGCAGCAGUGGGGAAUAUGGCACAAUGGGCGCAAGCCUGGUGCAGCCAUGCAGCGUGUGGGAAGAAGGCCAUCGGGUUGUAAAGCACUUUCAGCGAGGAGGCGUUACUCGCAGAAGAAGCACCGGCUAACUCCGUGCCAGCAGCCGCGGUAAUUC
rnacentral:rRNA from 1 species